CAGUCGCCGCGGGAAUACAGAGGGUGCGAGCGUUAAUCGGAUUUACUGGGCGUAAAGCGUGCGUAGGCGGCUAAUUGAGUCGGAUGUGAAAUCCCCGAGCUUAACUUGGGAAUUGCAUUCGAUACUGGUUAGCUAGAGUGUGGGAGAGGAUGGUAGAAUUCCAGGUGUAGCGGUGAAAUGCGUAGAGAUCUGGAGGAAUACCGAUGGCGAAGGCAGCCAUCUGGCCUAACACUGACGCUGAGGUACGAAAGCAUGGGGAGCAAACAGGAUUAGAUACCCGUGUAGUCCCUGUCUCUUAUAA
rnacentral:rRNA from 1 species